UUUUGAAUAUAAUUUAAAGUAGGGCCUGCCCACUGAUUUUAUUAAAGGGCCGCAGUAUUUUGACUGUGCAAAGGUAGCAUAAUCAUUAGUUUUUUAAUUGAAAGCUUGUAUGAAUGGUUUGAUGAAAAAAUGACUUUCUUUAAUUAAUAAAAAAAAAUUUAUUUUUAAGUUAAAAAGCUUAAAUGUUUAUAAUAGACGAGAAGACCCUAUAGAGUUUAAUUAUAUUUAUUAUUUUAAAAAUUUUUAGAAUUUAUAAUUUUUAUUUUUAUAAUAAUUUGAUUGGGGUGAUUGAAAAAUUAAUUUAACUUUUUUUUUAUUAAACCAUUUAUUUAUGUAUAUUUGAUCCAAUUAAUUGAUUAUAAGAAUAAAUUACCUUAGGGAUAACAGCGUUAUUUUUUUUUAGAGUUCAAAUCGAAAAAAGAGAUUGCGACCUCGAUGUUGGAUUAAAGUUAAAUUUAGGUGUAGAAGCUUAAGUAUUUGGUCUGUUCGACCAUUUAAACUUUACA
rnacentral:rRNA from 1 species